rnacentral:rRNA from 1 species
CCUACGGGAGGCAGCAGUGAGGAAUAUUGGGCAAUGGACGAGAGCCUGAACCAGCCAAGCAGCGUGAAGGAUGAAGGCCCUAUGGGUUGUAAACUUCUUUUAUAUGGGAAUAAAAUGUUCCACGUGUGGGAUUUUGUAUGUACCAUAUGAAUAAGGAUCGGCUAACUCCGUGCCAGCAGCGGCGGUAAUACGGAGGAUCCGAGCGUUAUCCGGAGUGAUUGGGUGUAAAGGGAGCGGAGGUGGGUUGUUAAGUCAGUUGUGAAAGUUUGCGGCUCAACCGUAAAAUUGCAGUUGAAACUGGCAGUCUUGAGUACAGUAGAGGUGGGCGGAAUUCGUGGUGUAGCGGUGAAAUGCUUAGAUAUCACGAAGAACUCCGGUUGCGAAGGCAGCUCACUGGACUGCAACUGACGCUGAGGCUCGAAAGUGUGGGUAUCAAACAGGAUUAGAUACCCUUGUAGUC